rnacentral:rRNA from 2 species
GGGUCAUUGGAAACUGGGAAACUUGAGUGCAGAAGAGGAGAGUGGAAUUCCACGUGUAGCGGUGAAAUGCGUAGAGAUGUGGAGGAACACCAGUGGCGAAGGCGACUCUCUGGUCUGUAACUGACGCUGAGGAGCGAAAGCGUGGGGAGCGAACAGGAUUAGAUACCCUGGUAGUCCACGCCGUAAACGAUGAGUGCUAAGUGUUAGGGGGUUUCCGCCCCUUAGUGCUGCAGCUAACGCAUUAAGCACUCCGCCUGGGGAGUACGGUCGCAAGACUGAAACUCAAAGGAAUUGACGGGGGCCCGCACAAGCGGUGGAGCAUGUGGUUUAAUUCGAAGCAACGCGAAGAACCUUACCAGGUCUUGACAUCCUCUGACAACCCUAGAGAUAGGGCUUUCCCUUCGGGGACAGAGUGACAGGUGGUGCAUGGUUGUCGUCAGCUCGUGUCGUGAGAUGUUGGGUUAAGUCCCGCAACGAGCGCAACCCUUGAUCUUAGUUGCCAGCAUUCAGUUGGGCACUCUAAGGUGACUGCCGGUGACAAACCGGAGGAAGGUGGGGAUGACGUCAAAUCAUCAUGCCCCUUAUGACCUGGGCUACACACGUGCUACAAUGGACAGAACAAAGGGCUGCGAGACCGCAAGGGUUUAGCCCAAUCCCACAAAUCUGUUCUCAGUUCGGGAUCGCAGUCUGCAACUCGACUGCGUGAAGCU